rnacentral:rRNA from 1 species
AGCGAACGCUGGCGGCAGGCUUAACACAUGCCAGUCGAGCGGGCAUCUUCGGAUGUCAGCGGCAGACGGGUGCGUAACACGUGGGAACGUACCCUUCGGUUCGGAACAACUCUGGGAAACUGGAGCUAAUACCGGAUACGCCCUUAUGGGGAAAGGUUUACUGCCGAAGGAUCGGCCCGCGUCUGAUUAGCUAGUUGGUGGGGUAACGGCCUACCAAGGCGACGAUCAGUAGCUGGUCUGAGAGGAUGAUCAGCCACACUGGGACUGAGACACGGCCCAGACUCCUACGGGAGGCAGCAGUGGGGAAUAUUGGACAAUGGGCGCAAGCCUGAUCCAGCCAUGCCGCGUGAGUGAUGAAGGCCUUAGGGUUGUAAAGCUCUUUUGUCCGGGACGAUAAUGACGGUACCGGAAGAAUAAGCCCCGGCUAACUUCGUG